AGUGAACGCUGGCGGUAGGCCUAACACAUGCAAGUCGAACGGCAGCACAGGAGAGCUUGCUCUCUAGGUGGCGAGUGGCGGACAGGUGAGGAAUACAUCGGAAUCUGCCCAGUCGUGGGGGAUAACGUAGGGAAACUUACGCUAAUACCGCAUACGACCUUCGGGUGAAAGAGGGGGAUCGCAAGACCUCUCGCGAUUGGAUGAGCCGAUGUCGGAUUAGCUAGUUAGCGGGGUAAUGGCCCACCAAGGCGACGAUCCGUAGCUGGUCUGAGAGGAUGAUCAGCCAUACUGGAACUGAGACACGGUCCAGACUCCUACGGGAGGCAGCAGUGGGGAAUAUUGGACAAUGGGCGCAAGCCUGAUCCAGCCAUACCGCGUGGGUGAAGAAGGCCUUCGGGUUGUAAAGCCCUUUUGUUGGGAAAGAAAUCUUUCAGGCUAAUACCCUGGGAGGAUGACGGUACCCAAAGAAUAAGCACCGGCUAACUUCGUG
rnacentral:rRNA from 1 species